rnacentral:rRNA from 1 species
CUAGUAAUCGCGAAUCAGAAUGUCGCGGUGAAUACGUUCCCGGGUCUUGUACACACCGCCCGUCACACCAUGGGAGCUGGUAACACCCGAAGUCAGUAGUCUAACCGCAAGGAGGACGCUGCCGAAGGUGGGAUUAGCGACUGGGGUGAAGUCGUAACAAGGUACC